AAUGAACGCUGGCGGCGCGCCUAAUACAUGCAAGUCGAGCGAGAAGACGUAGCAAUACGUUUGUAAAGCGGCGAACGGGUGAGGAAUACAUGGGUAACCUACCCUCGAGUGGGGAAUAACUAGCCGAAAGGUUAGCUAAUACCGCGUACGCUCCUUGGACUUCGGUUCAGGGAGGAAAGCGAUACCGUGGGUAUCGCGCUCUUGGAUGGGCUCAUGUCCUAUCAGCUUGUUGGUGAGGAACGGCUCACCAAGGCUUCGACGGGUAGCUGGUCUGAGAGGACGAUCAGCCACACUGGCACUGCGACACGGGCCAGACUCCUACGGGAGGCAGCAGUAAGGAAUAUUGCGCAAUGGGCGAAAGCCUGACGCAGCGACGCCGCGUGGGGGAUGAAGGUCUUCGGAUUGUAAACCCCUUUCGGG
rnacentral:rRNA from 1 species